AUUGAACGCUGGCGGCAGGCCUAACACAUGCAAGUCGAGCGGAGCGGCGAACGGGUGAGUAAUGCCUAGGAAUCUACCUGGGAGUGGGGGAUAACGUCCGGCAACGGGCGCUAAUCCCGCAUAAUAUAAGAUGAGCCUAGGUCGUAUUAGCUAGUUGGUGGGGUAAAGGCCUACCAAGGCGACGAUCCGUCACUGGACUGAGAGGAUGAUCAGUCACACUGGAACUGAGACACGGUCCAGACUCCUACGGGAGGCAGAAGUGGGGAAUAUUGGACAAGGGGCGAAAGCCUGAUCCAGCAAUGCCGCGUGUGUGAAGAAGGUCUUCGGAUUGUAAAGCUCUGUAAGUUGGGAGGCGUUACCAACAGAAUAAGCACCGGCUAACUUCGUGCCAGCAGCCGCGGUAAUAC
rnacentral:rRNA from 1 species